rnacentral:sRNA from 1 species
UCCGAGAUAUUCGUGGGGUAGCAGCCAGC